rnacentral:rRNA from 1 species
UUCCAGCUCCAAUAGCGUAUAUUUAAGUUGUUGCAGUUAAAAAGCUCGUAGUUGGAUUUUGGGUCGGGGGUACCGGCCCGGUGUUUCACUGUGCACUGGCCUCCCCUUCCUUUCUGCCGGGGACGGCGUUUGCUCUUUACUGAGCGGCGUCGGAGUCGGCGUUGUUACUUUGAAAAAAUUAGAGUGUUCAAAGCAAGCCAUCGCUCUGAAUACAUUAGCAUGGAAUAACAUGAUAGGACUCCGGUCUUAUUUUGUUGGUUUCCGAGACUGGAGUAAUGAUUAAGAGGGACAGUCGGGGGCAUCCGUAUUUCAUUGUCAGAGGUGAAAUUCUUGGAUUUAUGAAAGACGAACUUCUGCGAAAGCAUUUGCCAAGGAUGUUUUCAUCA